ensembl:snRNA U6 U6 spliceosomal RNA
GUGCUGGCUUCAGCAGCACAGAUACUAAAAUUGGAACAAUAAAGAGAAGAUUAGUACAGCUCCUGUGCAAGGAUGACACACGUAUUUGUGAAGCAUUCUAUAUUUUU